GUACUGCUGACGAGUUCCAAACAGGACGAAACAGCUGCCCAGUGC
rnacentral:hammerhead_ribozyme from 1 species